rnacentral:rRNA from 1 species
CCUACGGGAGGCUGCAGUGAGGAAUAUUGGUCAAUGGACGAGAGUCUGAACCAGCCAAGUAGCGUGAAGGAUGACUGCCUUAUGGGUUGUAAACUUCUUUUAUAUGGGAAUAAAAUGUUCCACGUGUGGGAUUUUGUAUGUACCAUAUGAAUAAGGAUCGGCUAACUCCGUGCCAGCAGCCGCGGUAAUACGGAGGAUCCGAGCGUUAUCCGGAUUUAUUGGGUUUAAAGGGAGCGUAGGUGGAUUGUUAAGUCAGGUGUGAAAGUUUGCGGCUCAACCGUAAAAUUGCAGUUGAAACUGGCAGUCUGGAGUACAGUAGAGGUGGGCGGAAUUCGUGGUGUAGCGGUGAAAUGCUUAGAGAUCACGAAGAACUCCGAUUGCGAAGGCAGCUCACUGGACUGCAACUGACACUGAGGCUCGAAAGUGUGGGUAUCAAACAGGAUUAGAUACCCCUGUAGUC